rnacentral:rRNA from 1 species
GACGUAGGGCGCGAGCGUUGUCCGGAUUUAUUGGGCGUAAAGAGCUCGUAGGCGGCUCGUUGCGUCGGCUGUGAAAACCCGCAGCUCAACUGUGGGCUUGCAGCCGAUACGGGCGGGCUGGAGUUCGGUAGGGGAGACUGGAAUUCCUGGUGUAGCGGUGAAAUGCGCAGAUAUCAGGAGGAACACCUGCGGCGAAGGCGGGUUGCUGGGCCGACACUGACGCUGAGGCGCGAAAGCCAGGGGAGCGAACGGG